AGCACUUUAUACUGUGAACUGCGAAUGGCUCAUUAAAUCAGUUAUCGUUUAUUUGAUAGUACCUUACUACAUGGAUACCUGUGGUAAUUCUAGAGCUAAUACAUGCUAAAAACCCCGACUUCAGGAAGGGGUGUAUUUAUUAGAUAAAAAACCAACGCCCUUCGGGGCUCCUUGGUGAAUCAUAAUAACUUAACGAAUCGCAUGGCCUUGCGCCGGCGAUGGUUCAUUCAAAUUUCUGCCCUAUCAACUUUCGAUGGUAGGAUAGUGGCCUACCAUGGUGGCAACGGGUAACGGGGAAUUAGGGUUCGAUUCCGGAGAGGGAGCCUGAGAAACGGCUACCACAUCCAAGGAAGGCAGCAGGCGCGCAAAUUACCCAAUCCCGAUACGGGGAGGUAGUGACAAUAAAUACUGAUACGGGGCUCUUUUGGGUCUCGUAAUUGGAAUGAGAACAAUUUAAAUCCCUUAACGAGGAACAAUUGGAGGGCAAGUCUGGUGCCAGCAGCCGCGGUAAUUCCAGCUCCAAUAGCGUAUAUUAAAGUUGUUGCAGUUAAAAAGCUCGUAGUUGAACCUUGGGUCUGGCUGGCCGGUCCGCCUCACCGCGAGUACUGGUCCGGCUGGACCUUUCCUUCUGGGGAACCUCAUGGCCUUCACUGGCUGUGGGGGGAACCAGGACUUUUACUGUGAAAAAAUUAGAGUGUUCAAAGCAGGCCUUUGCUCGAAUACAUUAGCAUGGAAUAAUAGAAUAGGACGUGCGGUUCUAUUUUGUUGGUUUCUAGGACCGCCGUAAUGAUUAAUAGGGAUAGUCGGGGGCGUCAGUAUUCAGCUGUCAGAGGUGAAAUUCUUGGAUUUGCUGAAGACUAACUACUGCGAAAGCAUUCGCCAAGGAUGUUUUCAUUAAUCAGGGAACGAAAGUUAGGGGAUCGAAGACGAUCAGAUACCGUCGUAGUCUUAACCAUAAACUAUGCCGACUAGGGAUCGGACGGGAUUCUAUGAUGACCCGUUCGGCACCUUACGAGAAAUCAAAGUUUUUGGGUUCUGGGGGGA
rnacentral:rRNA from 1 species